UCUUCCGUAGUAUAGUGGUCAGUAUGUGAGCUUGUCAAGAUCCACGUUUCAAAUGUGGCUUCACAACGCUCGAGACCCGGGUUCAAUUCCCGGCGGGAGAG